rnacentral:lncRNA from 1 species
AUGGGUCUUUUUACUUGGAGCUCGGCCGGUCGGCACCAAGCGGAGCAGGUGAAGUCUGGAUGGAAGCAACAGAUCAAGGUGAUUGUAAAUGAGGUGAUUUUCACCGUUUCACUUGGCACCAAUGGUGAGCCUGUCCCUCUUUAUGUCCUAGCAGCCGCUCAGAACAUUCACGAGGCAGUUCGAGAAGCUGUGAGGGCAAUGCGCGUUCUGCCCACUUUCAACGGCUCGCCAACCUCCACCCAUCACUGUCAGACUCUGGCGUCACAGCGCUGCCGACCCAAACACAAGGACAAGCCGGUAAAUGUGAGAUCACCGGGUCCACGUGGGACUCCGCCCACCAGGAAACCAGAAAGUCCAACUCGCAGGGAGUCCCACAAACCAGAAUCUGCCCUGAGGCCUAUUUUGCACUUCAGCCCUCCUAAGUCCCAUCCAAUCACCAUGGAAUCAAAACCAGAACAUCAUCCCAGUGGGAUGGAGGACUGGGAACCUGAGGAAGAAGAACAGGGCCUUGGAUACGUGAUGAUGUCACCACAGGCGAGCCAGCCUCCAGAUGAUUAUGUCGUCAUGGUGAGCCCACACAAACACGAUUGGCCAGCCUGCUCGACUCUUCAGACAUCGAUCAACAGCUCCACCUCCGUGUGCUUUGCUCCCCUUUUCCCAUCACAACCUCAGACAGAAGAGCACAUUCAACCAUGCAGACUGACAUCCAUGUCGAGCCAGCAGUCCGAAGCAGGAACCAGCCAAUCGCAGCUGAGCGUGGGCUGCGGGGAGCAGAGAAGACCUCCAAGACAGACCUGGACCACAUCAACCCCUGUGAGAACCAUCCAUGGUCACGUGAUCGGUUCUCCUGUCAUGAGGCGGCAGGGAGGGUCCAGUUCAGACUGGAGUCCAGUUGGACCGCCCGUCAGGAGGAGCCUACUGUCAUCAUGUCUGCUUUCGUGUCUUCAAGACAACACAUGCUGAGAGCUGGUUUACGUCACUAAUCUGGUGCAGGAGAUGAUAUAAUCCAACAAAAACGGGGCAGAAUUUACGGAAGCUUUCACAUCUCCCAGAUUUUGUAUUGUGGAUUUAAUCAAGACUCUGUUAUGAAGACUUUGAUCUAAAACUCCACAGCACUUAAAGAAAAAUAAUAAAGUCAAAUGAAUGCAUCAUUUUCUGCAUACUUGAACAGGAAACCAUUCGAAGUUGCAGUUGAAGAAGCCUUUCCCUGGCUGCAAUGAAACAAUAGCGCCCUCUACCGCCUGUAGUGUUAAGCGUCACACGUUAACCUGGUUGUUUGCAGACUUGACCUUGACCCAAUUUAUUGUUUAGGAUUUGGCACAAUGAUAAAAUCGCUUCAUGAGUGUUUUUAUAUGGAAAUUACACAAACGGUGCUGGCAAGGUUUCCAUUUCUGCAUCGAAUGUUUGGGUCAUAAACAGCUGUCAGAGUUGAUUCACAGUAAAUAAAUCAGUGAAUUCUAAUCUCUAGCACUCAGGAAACCAUUGACUAAAUAAUUACACAAUGGAUUAUAUCAUUUUAUUAUUUGUGAAUGUUUUGGAUAGUAACGUGUUGAACCAAAAGCAUAAUUGUUAAAUGAGAUAUGCAGCCGAUGUGUUGGCAGCAACAAAUGGCACUGCCUUCCUCGAAGUGAAAGUAAACACAAAUCAGGAUUGGGAAGGGAGAGUCAAGCUAAGCUCAUUCUGUGCCAGUACCGCCCGAAUGUUCGAAACCUCAGCAUAAACCAGCUCUUCAUUAUUUUUAUUUAUUUGUUUAUUUAAUUUAUUUUAAGUUACACUUAACUUUAGCACUAUCAUUUUGGCCUGAGGCUGUCCAAAAACUUGACGGUUGGAACGAAAGGCUACAGAAGCCAUUGCUCGUGUUUUGUUUAUUCUCUGUGGUUCCAACGUUGCGCAACCUUUGGAAUUAGGUUUCUCAGUGGAACUUUCCCAUCCUCCACCCUCCCCUACAGGUGCAUAUCAAGUGCUCAGCAAAGAUGUCCAGAUUUUGGAAGUGUGUUCACAGGCAUGACACGACUAUGAUUAACCUGCUGUUCAAUGGGAAUUCCCCUGGAGCUAUGCACAUGGUGUAACUUCAUGCAAGCCGUGCGUUCAGUGGGUAUUAGAAGAAAUUGUGUAUUCACUUGCAUAGUGUUCCCAGUCUUGUGCUGGCCUGCACUCAUAUAGACAGGACCAACAACGUGAGAAGUCUGGAUUGUCUUGCAAGCGAUCGGGAUAAAAUAUAGAGCUCAUCUUUUUGUGUGUUUAUAGGAGAAAUUACUGAAAUGAAAUGCUUAAUGCUAUAUUUGUUAGAAAGAAAAUAGACUCGUGAUUGGAAUUCGCGUCCAUCAGCAAACAUAUUCAAAGUUUCGAAGUUUGUAAACAACACUGUAAUAGUCGCACUUCCGAAGAGUCGAUUCCAAGAAAACAUGAAGUCAGCCUAAUGGUUCCUUCAAACUCUUAGCAACUAUUGUAAAAUGGAAUUAUCCCGCUCUGAAUACUUGCUUGCUCUGGAUAAAGGUGUUCUCUGUAAACAGUACAACCGUCAUAAACUGUGCUUAUUUUAAGGGGGAAAAUUCAUGUUGGAAUAUAUGUUACCAAAAACAACGGAUGAGACCUAAGAGGUCAAUUAUUUAUUGUUGUGCGAGUUUGUCCGAUUGUUCGUGAACCUACCACCCAGCUGAGGCGUCGGACACACAUGCGCAUGCGCGGUCGCAGUGUUUGCGUUCCUCCUCCCUCCUCUGAGACUGACAGCCCGUUAGCUGCUCCUGCUCACCGGCAAUGAUACAGCAAACACGGACUCCAUAAGAGACACCGGGAUGGAAUUAUCGAGCGCCUUUUACCACCACAAAGACUGCUAUUGUUCAGAUUCCAGUUCUCAUUGUGAAUGCUUGGAGUUAAUUCUUCGUUAGGUUCAUUUUUGGUGCGUUUAAAAAGACACUCGUCGUCCGGGAAAAGAUGCGACGAAUGAUUUCCUGCGACAUUCACCGGCCAGCUAAGGAGCCUCCACAUUCACUCUAAACACCGACGCUGCUUUGGACUUGACCAUCUUAUUAAUGCUUUUGUGACACUAACGCUUGAAAAAAUAAACUCGAUCGCGAAAAGAAAUGUAGAAGACUGCAGCGACCAGCGCUACUGGCGAGCCAACACAGUUUAAGCUAACUGUCAGCUUGUUAAAUUUCUUUUUGUUGUUUAUCUUUUUUUUUUUAUUGCUCUUUGCAUCAACCUUUUACGUCUUUAUAGAGUUUGGAGUGAUUGGUGUGUCAAAGAGAACGAGGCUGCUUGCAGUCUGUCGAGUUCGAGCCCAGAACGCUGAACUUGAUUUGUAGAGGACAUAAAUCAUCUGACUUCUCACUUAUGGCUCUUUAGUAUCGCGGCGCUGCAGCUGACCCAGCUAGCUAGCAUCUCUGUUAGCUAGUAGCAGUUGCGCAAAGAGCUGUCCUCUUUUA